GCCUGACUAUAACACUGAUAAAGUGCUGUAAACGUUGGCAAUGUAAAUACGGUAACUCAGGUUUAGGGUACAUUUUCAGUAUGGACCUCUGGCUCCACCUAGUGGAUGAACACAUGGACCGGUGGCCAUGAAUUGGGAUAGGCCUAAUAUUAAUAAUAACAUCAAGUUAGUUUGAAAUACUGCAUGCAUGACAGAGCCAGACAUUUAGAAGGCCAACAAACAUUUUUGAAAGCCACACAUUGUUUACGGCGAAAAAAGAUAUAACACUAUAGGUUAAUAUUAUUUUGGAACCACACAAGCCUUGAUGCCUGGAGCGAUUUGUGGCACAUGCGUACACAUUAUUACGCCACCGUUUGUGGCGUAGUAGCCUAAUGUGUCAACCGUUUGUGGCGUUAUAAUGUGUGUAACAGAACAGCCUAACACGUGCAUCAUGCCGAGUGAGGCUCAAUGUCCUCUUGCUCAUCUCCUACAGUUUUGAGUGUCCAAGGAAGGCAGAAUUCUCCGACAGGGGCUGAUCAUAAAAGAAACCAAACACAAUAUCAUUGUCAAACGCAUUGUCCAGGAGGAGAGAUCUUCUCUGACUUCUGCAGGGCUCAUCAGACCUACAGCGUUGCCACACAGACCCUCCUGACGUCUUUCCCCCCACCCCCAUCUGUCCCGCGGAACAACUCAACCGCAGGUUCGCCAACGUUGACAGAUUGCUCCUCUGGUUCUCCAUCUGUGGACAUUCAGCCAGAGCCGGAGACGAUCUCAGUAAAGGAGAAUAUGGAACCAGUUAUGUCCGCUGGUCAGGGCGCUGACCAAAUCAGAGAGGUCGGGGAUGAGGUCA